CUGGCCGUAAACGAUGGAUACUAGGUGUAAGUGGUAUCGACCCCACUUGUGCCGUAGCUAACGCAUUAAGUAUCCCGCCUGGGGAGUACGGCCGCAAGGUUGAAACUCAAAGGAAUUGACGGGGGCCCGCACAAGCGGUGGAGCAUGUGGUUUAAUUCGUUACUAACCGAAGAACCUUACCCAGGCUUGACAUCCCCGGACAGCCCAUGAAAGUGGGUCUUCUCUCCCACAAGGAGAGACUGGGUGACAGGUGU
rnacentral:rRNA from 1 species